CGACGGCAGAGCUCCGCGCGUCCCCUCCGGAGGUGACAGGAGGCCUCCUGCCGGGUGUCCUGUGCACUGGAGAGCUUGGCGCAGAGUCCGGGGAAGACCUCUUUUGGUGUCUUCCCGAUCAGAGACAGGCACAGGACUAGAAGAAAUGCAAAAGCCAGUGCUUCCUCUUCUACCUGGACCGGAUCCACCACAGGUGAGCCUCUCAGUAAUCCUGGCGGCUGCCCAGCCCUGCUACUCUCCGACUCGUCAUCAGUCAUAGGAUGCCUCUUGCCAUCUGACUGGGUGAAUGAAUAAACCACAGUUCUGGCCUUACGCAUAAGAUGACCGACUCGAUGGGCUGAGCCAGCCUCGCGAGGAAGACCUGGACCCCGGAUGCUGGCGGGGGGAGUCCCAGCAUCAUCACACUGCUCCUCUGUGAGCACCUUCCUGACAGAUCUGGGGCCGCUGAGAAUUCUGGGAGCGUCGUCCUGAUGGAUUUAGGGCACUGAGCAUUCUGGGAGCAGUUUGGAUGUUUAGUUUGUCCUCUUCCACAUCCUAGUCCUUGAUAAAUAAAUAUAUAUUUACCAUUCCUGAUCCCUGAUUU
ensembl:lncRNA